rnacentral:rRNA from 1 species
UUGAAAUACCACCCUUUAAUGUUUGAUGUUCUAACGUGGACCCGUGAUCCGGGUUGCGGACAGUGUCUGGUGGGUAGUUUGACUGGGGCGGUCUCCUCCUAAAGAGUAACGGAGGAGCACGAAGGUUGGCUAAUCCUGGUCGGACAUCAGGAGGUUAGUGCAAUGGCAUAAGCCAGCUUGACUGCGAGCGUGACGGCGCGAGCAGGUGCGAAAGCAGGUCAUAGUGAUCCGGUGGUUCUGAAUGGAAGGGCCAUCGCUCAACGGAUAAAAGGUACUCCGGGGAUAACAGGCUGAUACCGCCCAAGAGUUCAUAUCGACGGCGGUGUUUGGCACCUCGAUGUCGGCUCAUCACAUCCUGGGGCUGAAGUAGGUCCCAAGGGUAUGGCUGUUCGCCAUUUAAAGUGGUACGCGAGCUGGGUUUAGAACGUCGUGAGACAGUUCGGUCCCUAUCUGCCGUGGGCGCUGGAGAACUGAGGGGGGCUGCUCCUAGUACGAGAGGACCGGAGUGGACGCAUCACUGGUGUUCGGGUUGUCAUGCCAAUGGCACUGCCCGGUAGCUAAAUGCGGAAGAGAUAAGUGCUGAAAGCAUCUAAGCACGAAACUUGCCCCGAGAUGAGUUCUCCCUGAGACUUAGAGUCUCCUGAAGGAACGUUGAAGACGACGACGUUGAUAGGCCGGGUGUGUAAGCGCAGCGAUGCGUUGAGCUAACCGGUACUAAUGAACCGUGAGGCUUAACCUUACAACGCCGAAG